GAUGAACGCUGGCGGCGUGCUUAACACAUGCAAGUCGAACGAAGCAUUUGCGGCAGAUUUUUUCGGAAUGAAGUUGCUUAUGACUGAGUGGCGGACGGGUGAGUAACGCGUGGGUAACCUGCCUUGUACUGGGGGAUAGCAGCUGGAAACGGCUGGUAAUACCGCAUAAGCGCACAAUGUUGCAUGACAUGGUGUGAAAAACUCCGGUGGUAUAAGAUGGACCCGCGUCUGAUUAGCUAGUUGGUGAGAUAACAGCCCACCAAGGCGACGAUCAGUAGCCGACCUGAGAGGGUGACCGGCCACAUUGGGACUGAGACACGGCCCAGACUCCUACGGGAGGCAGCAGUGGGGAAUAUUGCACAAUGGAGGAAACUCUGAUGCAGCGACGCCGCGUGAGUGAAGAAGUAAUUCGUUAUGUAAAGCUCUAUCAGCAGGGAAGAUAGUGACGGUACCUGACGAAGAAGCUCCGGCUAAAUACGUG
rnacentral:rRNA from 1 species